UAUUCUGCCCCACGGGGAAGGAUGAGAAGCUUCGACUAAGGUUCGACUCGAGCGUAGCGAGAGAACGUUGCCGCAGGCAACGGCCCGAAGGGCGAGGAGCGAUAGCGACGAGUUAUCCUUCCCCCACCACCA
rnacentral:sRNA from 1 species